rnacentral:rRNA from 1 species
AUUGAACGCUGGCGGCAUGCCUUACACAUGCAAGUCGAACGGCAGCACGGGAGCAAUCCUGGUGGCGAGUGGCGAACGGGUGAGUAAUGCAUCGGAACGUGCCCAGUCGUGGGGGAUAACUGCUCGAAAGAGCAGCUAAUACCGCAUACGACCUGAGGGUGAAAGCGGGGGACCGUAAGGCCUCGCGCGAUUGGAGCGGCCGAUGUCAGAUUAGGUAGUUGGUGGGGUAAAGGCCUACCAAGCCUGCGAUCUGUAGGUGGGCUGAGAGGACGACCAGCAACACUGGGACUGGGACACGGCCCAGACUCCUACGGGAGGCAGCAGUGGGGAAUUUUGGACAAUGGACGCAAGUCUGAUCCAGCCAUGCCGCGUGCGGGAAGAAGGCCUUCGGGUUGUAAACCGCUUUUGUCAGGGAAGAAAUCUUCUGGACUAAUACUCUGGGAGGAUGACGGUACCUGAAGAAUAAGCACCGGCUAACUACGUGCCAGCCGCCGCGGUAACAC